rnacentral:rRNA from 1 species
AUUGAACGCUGGCGGCAGGCCUAACACAUGCAAGUCGAGCGAGCGUCGGGCGGGUGAGUAAUGUAUGGGGGCUCCCCGUUAGGGGGGGAUAACACCUGGAAACACUAGAUAAUAUCGCAUCUGACAGGAGUACGCAUAUGGGAUUAGCUAGUAGGUGAGGUAAUGGCUCACCCAGGCGACGAGCCCUAGCUGGUCUGAGAGGAUGAUCAGCCAAACUGGGACUGAGACACGGCCCAGACUCCUACGGAGGCAGCAGUGGGGAAUAUUGCACAAUGGGCGCAAGCCUGAUGCAGCCAUGCCGCGUGUAUGAAGAAGGCCUUAGGGUUGUAAAGUACUUUCAGUCGGGAGGCGUUACCUACAGAAGAAGCACCGGCUAACUCCGUGCCAGCAGCCGCGGUAAUAC